GCCUAUUGUCCUUUCGGGUGCUGGGACAGGUGAGGCUCCCAUUUCUUUGUUAUCUGAAAGUGAAGUUUGGGAAGUUCAGUAUGAUCGCUACACAAGGUCUUCCAACAUCAGCAACAUCUCUUCCGCACGGAUUCUACCUAUUAUGAUCUGCUCGGAAGAUGGGAUCCUCGCGGUUAUUGGACAAGGUGAAGAACCCUUGGAGCUGCUAGCCGAGCCCUGUGCAAUUAACAGCUUUGACAUUGAUAAGCAGAACCCCUCGGAUGUCAUAUUUAGCUUGGAAUGGGAAUCUAUGGCCAUCUUGACAAGGUCUU